UACGGGGGGGGCAAGCGUUGUUCGGAAUUACUGGGCGUAAAGGGCUCGUAGGCGGCCAACUAAGUCAGACGUGAAAUCCCUCGGCUUAACCGGGGAACUGCGUCUGAUACUGGAUGGCUUGAAUCCGGGAGAGGGAUGCAGAAUUCCAGGUGUAGCGGUGAAAUGCGUAGAUAUCGGGAGGAACACCAAUUGCGAAGGCAGCUCGCUGGGACGUCACUGACGCUGAGACGCGAAAGCGUGGGGAGCAAACAGG
rnacentral:rRNA from 1 species